rnacentral:rRNA from 1 species
GAAUAUUGGUCAAUGGGCGGGAGCCUGAACCAGCCAUGCCGCGUGCAGGAAGACGGCCUUCUGGGUUGUAAACUGCUUUUCUACGGGAAGAAAAUGCCCCUGCGGGGGAAAUUGCCGGUACCGUAGGAAUAAGCACCGGCUAACUCCGUGCCAGCCGCCGCGGUAAUACGGAGGGUGCAAGCGUUGUCCGGAUUUAUUGGGUUUAAAGGGUGCGUAGGCGGGCCUUUAAGUCAGUGGUGAAAGCCUGCGGCUCAACCGUAGAACUGCCAUUGAUACUGGAGGCCUUGAGUACACUAGAGGUAGGCGGAAUUUAUGGUGUAGCGGUGAAAUGCAUAGAUACCAUAAAGAACACCCAUAGCGUAGGCAGCUUACUGGAGUGUAACUGACGCUGAGGCACGAAAGCAUGGGGAGCGAACAGG